UUUUAGCCUCGUGACUGAGGGUUGCUCAUGCACCCUGGCCAUUAUUUUGAGCCCCCCCCCCCCGUGUUUGCAAAGCUAGUGAUCUAUUUAUAAUUCUAUUAACUCUGACUUAUUGUGAUAUUUUUGCAGAAUGGUAUGCAGAACAACCUAGUACUGUUUUAGCAGUGUUCAGUUAUGGUCUGUGGUCAAAACUGCUUGGUUUUACAAAACGAUUGGGUGUUCAAAGACUAUGAUUCAGAUGUGAAGCCAAUUUACCUUGCCUAUUUUUGGACAGAAUGGAAAUACAUUUUUGAAUGUUCCAUGUUUUUAAAUGAUUUAAAAUAAUAGAUCUUUGCAAUCUAGUCAAUCAGAACAGGAAUGCAAGAGCUUUGUUUACAUGAGUGCAAAUUAUAUUUCAGGGGCCGGUGUUUAUGAUUUUUCCCUUCGUACAACCGCCCCCUGACAUAUACAGCUAAUUCAAUAAAGGUUGUCCUUUGCAAACCUUAAACUCUAAAACCUAAACCUUAAACUCUAAGCGCGCAAAGCAUAAUGGGAGCACUAUUUAAGCAGUUUAGAAAGCAUAUAUGGAGCCCAUUUUUUAAGACAUGGUAAAUAAUUAUGUGCCUGCGAAAACAUUUCACUCACAAACAACUGCAAUAUUCAACUACUAAGCUUGAAAUCAGUACUCCCAUUAUGCUUUGCACGCCUAGAGUUUAAGGUUUAAGGUUCAGAGUGAGGUUUGCAAAGGACAACCUUUUUUGAAUUAGCUGUAUAUUUCUAUUUGCUGCCAUUGUCAAUGGCGCAAGAUGCCGCAGGGCCUCAAAUUUGCCUCGCUGCAAAUGUGUUGCAAAUUUGGUCUGCAAAUUUGGUCAUGAAUCUUGCAUUUGAAAGGAAAUUAUAUAAAAACGUGCACUUAUGUAAACCAAAGCACUGAGAUUGCUAGCUUAUAUUGCCUAUUUCAGUAUUUGAUGAGGUCUUCAUUCUGAGUAGCAUAUUAUAGGUUUUUCCAACAACCUUUUCUCUGCAAUUUUUUGUUGGGGUUGGUGGAGCUCUUUCCUCUUCCAUAGUAUAUACGCGUGACCCUUGCGUUACAUAUAGCGAAAAAUGUUGAAUAAAUGUAUAGUUAUAGAAAAAAAAUAUAUAAUGCAUUUAUAGAUGAUUAACAGUUAAUUAGAAUUUAAAUCACAUGAAUUGAUAUUGUUUGAGGCACUGUCCAUGUGGAAACUGCAUUUAGAAUAAUUGUAGUAAUGUUUUGUUAUAUUCAGAUUUAGUAUUGAAAUUAAUAUAUGAGAGAAUUAUGUAAUUGUAAUACAAACGAAUGAAAUUGAUUAAAGAGAACUUGACGAUUUGUACAA